rnacentral:rRNA from 1 species
CCUACGGGCGGCAGCAGUGAGGAAUAUUGGUCAAUGGACGAGAGUCUGAACCAGCCAAGUAGCGUGAAGGAUGACUGACCUAUGGGUUGUAAACUUCUUUUAUAUGGGAAUAAAAUGUUCCACGUGUGGGAUUUUGUAUGUACCAUAUGAAUAAGGAUCGGCUAACUCCGUGCCAGCAGCCGCGGUAAUACGGAGGAUCCGAGCGUUAUCCGGAUUGAUUGGGUUUAAAGGGAGCGUAGGUGGAUUGGUAAGUCAGUUGUGAAAGUUUGCGGCUCAACCGUAAAAUUGCAGUUGAAACUGGCAGUCUUGAGUACAGGAGAGGUGGGCGGAAUGCGUGGUGUAGCGGUGAAAUGCUUAGAUAUCACGAAGAACUCCGAUUGCGAAGGCAGCUCACUGGACUGCAACUGACACUGAGGCUCGAAAGUGUGGGUAUCAAACAGGAUUAGAUACCCCUGUAGUC